rnacentral:rRNA from 1 species
AGAGUUUGAUCCUGGCUCAGGACGAACGCUGGCGGCGUGCCUAAUACAUGCAAGUCGAACGAACUCUGGUAUUGAUUGGUGCUUGCAUCAUGAUUUACAUUUGAGUGAGUGGCGAACUGGUGAGUAACACGUGGGAAACCUGCCCAGAAGCGGGGGAUAACACCUGGAAACAGAUGCUAAUACCGCAUAACAACUUGGACCGCAUGGUCCGAGUUUGAAAGAUGGCUUCGGCUAUCACUUUUGGAUGGUCCCGCGGCGUAUUAGCUAGAUGGUGAGGUAACGGCUCACCAUGGCAAUGAUACGUAGCCGACCUGAGAGGGUAAUCGGCCACAUUGGGACUGAGACACGGCCCAAACUCCUACGGGAGGCAGCAGUAGGGAAUCUUCCACAAUGGACGAAAGUCUGAUGGAGCAACGCCGCGUGAGUGAAGAAGGGUUUCGGCUCGUAAAACUCUGUUGUUAAAGAAGAACAUAUCUGAGAGUAACUGUUCAGGUAUUGACGGUAUUUAACCAGAAAGCCACGGCUAACUACGUGCCAGCAGCCGCGGUAAUACGUAGGUGGCAAGCGUUGUCCGGAUUUAUUGGGCGUAAAGCGAGCGCAGGCGGUUUUUUAAGUCUGAUAUGAAAGCCUUCGGCUCAACCGAAGAAGUGCAUCGGAAACUGGGAAACUUGAGUGCAGAAGAGGACAGUGGAACUCCAUGUGUAGCGGUGAAAUGCGUAGAUAUAUGGAAGAACACCAGUGGCGAAGGCGGCUGUCUGGUCUGUAACUGACGCUGAGGCUCGAAAGUAUGGGUAGCAAACAGGAUUAGAUACCCUGGUAGUCCAUACCGUAAACGAUGAAUGCUAAGUGUUGGAGGGUUUCCGCCCUUCAGUGCUGCAGCUAACGCAUUAAGCAUUCCGCCUGGGGAGUACGGCCGCAAGGCUGAAACUCAAAGGAAUUGACGGGGGCCCGCACAAGCGGUGGAGCAUGUGGUUUAAUUCGAAGCUACGCGAAGAACCUUACCAGGUCUUGACAUACUAUGCAAAUCUAAGAGAUUAGACGUUCCCUUCGGGGACAUGGAUACAGGUGGUGCAUGGUUGUCGUCAGCUCGUGUCGUGAGAUGUUGGGUUAAGUCCCGCAACGAGCGCAACCCUUAUUAUCAGUUGCCAGCAUUAAGUUGGGCACUCUGGUGAGACUGCCGGUGACAAACCGGAGGAAGGUGGGGAUGACGUCAAAUCAUCAUGCCCCUUACGACCUGGGCUACACACGUGCUACAAUGGAUGGUACAACGAGUUGCGAACUCGCGAGAGUAAGCUAAUCUCUUAAAGCCAUUCUCAGUUCGGAUUGUAGGCUGCAACUCGCCUACAUGAAGUCGGAAUCGCUAGUAAUCGCGGAUCAGCAUGCCGCGGUGAAUACGUUCCCGGGCCUUGUACACACCGCCCGUCACACCAUGAGAGUUUGUAACACCCAAAGUCGGUGGGGUAACCUUUUAGGAACCAGCCGCCUAAGGUGGGACAGAUGAUUAGGGUG